AACGAACGCUGGCGGCGCGUCUUACGCAUGCAAGUCGAACGGCAAGAGAGGAGCUUGCUUCUCUCCUAGAGUGGCGGACUGGUGAGGAACACGUGGGUAAUCUACCCUUAAGAUGGGGAUAGCUGCUAGAAAUAGCAGGUAAUACCGAAUACACUCGGCAUAUCACAAGAGGUGUUGAGGAAAGGAAGCUACGGCUUCGCUUGAGGAUGAGCUUGCGUCCCAUUAGCUAGUUGGUGAGGUAAAGGCCCACCAAGGCGACGAUGGGUAUCCGGCCUGAGAGGGUGAACGGACACAUUGGGACUGAGAUACGGCCCAAACUCCUACGGGAGGCAGCAGCUAAGAAUAUUCCGCAAUGGACGGAAGUCUGACGGAGCGACGCCGCGUGGAUGAAGAAGGCUGAAAAGUUGUAAAAUCCUUUUGUUGAUGAAGAAUAAGGGUGAGAGGGAAUGCUCAUCUGAUGACGGUAAUCGACGAAUAAGCCCCGGCUAAUUACGUA
rnacentral:rRNA from 1 species